UGACCAUAAUGUAAAAUCUGCCUUCUGCUAAAACUUGCACUGUUUCUUGCAGGUAGCGGUACCCACAGUGCCUUCACUGAGGGUGGUUUACAUCAGCACAUCAUCUGAUGCAUCACAAAUCCCUCUGUUGAAAGGAUUUUGGUAACUGUGUUCUAGGCAAAAUGCUUCCAGGGCUGUGAGUGCUGGUGUCCAGCUCAGCCCCUCCGAGUGGGAGGGCAAUGCAUACAGGGCACUAUGGAGCAGGUUAAGAUCAUAUCCAUCAGCCACAGGUGUCUCCUAUUCCAGUAUAUCAGCAACCCAGGUGGGUUACAGAGAUAACUGCCUGUCUGAGGAUACAUUCUUACUGCACGGGGUGGCUACAGCCCCUCAUGGGCUGUCUAAACCCACUUAGUCCAUGGCUACCAGUCCUAAAGCCCCAUCCCUUGCAACAGCCCCGGAAAAAGCCAGAAGAAAUUAGAAAGCAGAGGCUUUGUGCAAAUGGAGUGAGCUUCUUCAGGUUUGCAAAGGUUUAACCGAGGGCAGAAUUGGGCUUGCUGCCUCUGCAUUGUUUCCCCAGCCCAUAAUUUUGGGGUAAACUUAAGUUUUGGAAUAAUCAUUGACCUUUAGCUUUGAAGAAAAACAGAACUUCUGCAUGAAAUUGCCAAAAACGAGAGUAACAAUUUGUAAUUGCUUCAUUUUGCUCCUGGAAACGCAGGUGCAGCCGGGCCUCCAAGGUGCUCUGCACAGCAAGGGAGUGGGCUGUUCUCCAGGGAGCACUGAUCCAAGGCAAUAAGGCAGACAAAGCGAGCACAGGGAACACAGGCAGUUGGUGGAGGACUGACAAGUGGUGCACAGUGGGACACAGGAGGCACUCGCUCCCUGCCCCGUGCACUGCAUCAUUACACCUUGCAAAUAACAAACCUCCUCCGUACAGCAGGAUACCCAGACAUGGUGGUGUUCCAUGGAGCAGUGGGCCAUGUCCUGAUGCCCAUGGGCUGCAGUGAGUGGUGCUGGUGGAAGAGCAGAGCCAGCAGUCCUCUGCCCAUGAGCACAGUUGGGAGUAGAGCAGUCUGAGGUCAUAAAUGCACAGAAAUGACUUGAAAUAAAAUGGUCUGCAAUUGAAUUGCUCAAAACUUCGUCUUGUGCCCAUGAAAAUGUUGGGACAGGUGGCAAAGACAGGUCAGAGAUGGAUGGGUCUGAAACGUUACAUAGAUGGAAGAAAUCAGCAGUGCAGAGAGUCCCAAGAGAAAGAGAUGUCCCCCACAGAGGCAGCUGUUUCUCUACCAUGAAACACGGACAAAACUGAAUUGCUUGAACUGGCUUGUGUGAUCUCCAGUGCCUGAAGCCUCUCCAAACUGGGCUGUACAUUGCUGCUGCUAUACCAGUAUCAAACUACAGUAAUAACAAGCAUCUUUAAGUGCCUUACUUAAUACCAGAUUCAUUACCCUGAGAGUCCUUCCAUAGAAAUAGCUGGGAUAUAUAAUCAGAUCUGUAUUGGUCUUCUUACAAACCGCAGCGUGAAGGACAGCUUGGCUCAGAGGAGGCUGCACUGCAUGCAAAGGAGGGAGAUUAUCCAGAAAGCUAAGUAGUUUCAGAAGCAAUUUCAUCUGUGAAGACAAGAGCAAGCACAAGCCCUCAAGGCCACCGCAGCCCCAUCACCUGUGCCCUGAAGGCACCGAGCUGCUGCACACACCUUCCUCACCACCUCUGUCCUCUCCUGUGUGCUUUGGGACCCACAACGAAAGUCCGAGUUUGGACUUGGGGCAUAAAAUACGGCACCAUAAAAUAUUAUUGUAGGGG
ensembl:lncRNA